rnacentral:lncRNA from 1 species
GGAAAGUGGACAAGUUCCUGUAUAUGCUGUCACUUUUCAAGAACCUGAGAAUGAUCCUCGGAAUUGCUGUUACUUGUGGGCUGUUCAGUCUACACAAGAUAGGGGUUAGAAUACUGUGAAGAAAGAUACACCCUGGACCUGACAGGUGGCAUGUUCCCUUUGAGGGGACAGACGAGUAAUACCAAAUUGUUGGGAUGCCAGAGUAUAGAGAAAUUUCGAUCUCAUGGUGACAGGGAGGAAGGUGUGAAUGAAGCUCUAUCGCCUGACACUAGUGUUUCAGUCUUUACCUGGCAGGUGAAUAUAUAUGGACAGGGAAAGCCUUCUGUAUAUUUGGGGCUUUUUGAUAUAAAUCGUUGGUAUCAUGCACAAAUGCCAGAUUCGUUAAGGU